GCGAUCUCGAUUCCAUUUCGAUUUAUCGUGCAGCCCUAACUGGAAGUUUAAAGCGAACACUAGAAGAGGAUGAAGAUUUCGGGAGUAUGCAAGUUACAGCAGCACAAAAUGGAUAGGCUUUACUAAAAAAAAAAAAAAAAGUGCUUAACCACAGUGGACUUUUCUUUUUACAUUUUUAUUGGGAUUAAAAAUGUAAAUAUUUGUACAGGGGUUGGGAGGGAGAGACUGCUCCUCGUGACCCUUGGAGCUGGGGAAGAUUUGAUAUUUUUUUCCUUCUUGAGCUAUAUGCACUGAAAUGUUUUGCAGUUUUAUAGUAUUUAAAGCAUUUUGCAUUUGCAGCGGGACAGUAUUGCAAUAAUGCACUUUUGAUACUUGAAUUACUGUUAUUUUGUUGGACGGAUUUGGGUUGGGAGGGGAGGGGAUCAAAGAAUGGGACUGUCACUGCCAUAGAAAUGAAAUGGUAGGAUGAAUCAAUCU